UACGGAGGGUGCAAGCGUUAUCCGGAAUCACUGGGUUUAAAGGGUGCGUAGGCGGCUAAAUAAGUCAGUGGUGAAAGGCCGUGGCUUAACCAUGGGAUUGCCAUUGAUACUGUAUAGCUUGAAUGAGGAUGAGGUUGGCGGAAUGUGGCAUGUAGCGGUGAAAUGCUUAGAUAUGCCAUGGAACAUCGAUUGCGAAGGCAGCUGACUGGACCUGAAUUGACGCUGAGGCACGAAAGCGUGGGUAGCGAACAGG
rnacentral:rRNA from 2 species